rnacentral:misc_RNA from 1 species
UGUCUAGCAAGAGAAACUUGAGGGACAGUAGGGACCAAACUGAGCUCCUUCUUUACCUCUUCAAAGGGCUCAAAAAUAACCCCAGUCAACGGCUUGUCAUUUGAACCCUUUGAUGCACAGAGAACAAACCCAGUCCCAGUUUUUCCACGAAAAAUCGUAGGAGAAAGACUAUUAAACGACGAAGAAACAGAGGAAAACAGAGGACCCAGAUUGUCUCCAUGAGUGCUCAGCAAAGAGAAAGCAGGAGCAGCCUUUAGCAACAUAUUUUUAUGGAUUUCUAAAGAAAGCUUUUUGAUUAUGAAGAAGAUGAAAGGAUUUGAAAAUGGAGAUG